CAUAGCGACUAUCGUGGCAUAUCAAUAAGCGGAGGAAAAGAAACUAACUAGGAUUCCCUCAGUAACGGCGAGUGAAGCGGGAAGAGCUCAAAUUUGAAAUCUUCAAGGUUCUACCUUGACGAAUUGUAGUUUAAAGAAGUGUUUUCUGUUGGAGUUUUGGUAAAAGUUCUUUGGAAUAGGACAUCAUAGAGGGUGAGAAUCCCGUAUUUGACCAUUAUUUCCAGCUUUGUGAUACACUUUCAAAGAGUCGGAUUGUUUGGGAAUGCAGUCCAAAAUGGGUGGUAAAUUUCAUCUAAAGCUAAAUAUUGGCGAGAGACCGAUAGCGAACAAGUACCGUGAGGGAAAGAUGAAAAGAACUUUGAAAAGAGAGUUAAACAGUACGUGAAAUUGUCAAAAGGGAAGCGUUUGACACCAGUGUUGUUUUCUCGAAAAUCAAUUAAAAAAGGCCGGAUUUUGUGUUGUAUUGACCUUAUAAGCUUUCUGCACUCCUUUCUUGUCUUUUUUAAUGCACUUUUCGUUUAACAAGUCAACAUCAGUUUCUUUUGUUGUAAAAGGGUCAUUGGAAGGUGGCUUUCUUUUCGGAGAAAGUGUUUAUAGCCUUUGAUCUCUGCAACCGGAGAGACUGAGGUCUGCAGCGUAGACUCUUCGGGGUUAGAUACAUUUGUGCUAAGCUAUAGCUUUUUAUAGACAACUUGUUGACUAUAUUUAGUCUUGUGGCUUACUCGCUUAUGCUAUUUUACCUACGCUUAGGAUGUUGACGAGACUGUCGAUCU
rnacentral:rRNA from 1 species